rnacentral:misc_RNA from 1 species
GAUGAAGAACGUAGCGAAAUGCGAUAAGUAAUGUGAAUUGCAGAAUUCAGUGAAUCAUCGAAUCUUUGAACGCACAUUGCGCCCGUCAGUAUUCUGGCGGGCAUGCCUGUUCGAGCGUCAUUACGCCCCUCAAGUCCCCUGUGGACUUGGUGUUGGGGAUCGGCGAGGCUGGUUUUCCAGCACAGCCGUCCCUUAAAUUAAUUGGCGGUCUCGCCGUGGCCCUCCUCUGCGCAGUAGUAAAACACUCGCAACAGGAGCCCGGCNCGGUCCACUGCCGUAAAACCCCCCAACUUUUUAUAGUUGACCUCGAAUCAGGUAGGACUACCCGCUGAACUUAAGCAUAUCAAUAAGCGGAGGA